AAUAGAUACCCCGGUAGUCCACGCUGUAAACGAUGAGGACUAGAUGUUGGUAGGGGAACCUAUCGGUAUCGAAGCAAACGCGAUAAGUCUUCCGCCUGGGAAGUACGGCCGCAAGGUUGAAACUCAAAUGAAUUGACGGGAGCCCGCACAAGCGGUGGAGCAUGUGGUUUAAUUCGAUGCAACGCGAAGAACCUUACCUACCCUUGACAUCCUAGGAACCCUGCAGAGACGUAGGGGUGCCGAAAGGAACCUAGAGACAGGUGCUGCAUGGCUGUCGUCAGCUCGUGUUGUGAGAUGUUGGGUUAAGUCCCGUAACGAGCGCAACCCUUGCCCUUAGUUGCCAGCAUUAAGUUGGGGACUCUAAGGGGACUGCCGGUGAUGAACCGGAGGAAGGCGGGGACGACGUCAAGUCAUCAUGGCCUUUAUGGGUAGGGCUACACACGUGCUACAAUGGGGCGUACAGAGGGUAGCCAACCCGCGAGGGGGAGCCAAUCUCAGAAAGCGUCUCGUAGUCCGGAUUGGAGUCUGCAACUCGACUCCAUGAAGUUG
rnacentral:rRNA from 1 species